rnacentral:rRNA from 1 species
AAUGAACGCUAGCGGCAUGCCUAACACAUGCAAGUCGAACGAGACCUUCGGGUCUAGUGGCGCACGGGUGCGUAACGCGUGGGAAUCUGCCCUUGGGUUCGGAAUAACUCGCCGAAAGGCGUGCUAAUACCGGAUGAUGACGUAAGUCCAAAGAUUUAUCGCCCAAGGAUGAGCCCGCGUGGAUUAGCUAGUUGGUGGGGUAAAGGCCCACCAAGGCGACGAUCCUUAGCUGGUCUGAGAGGAUGAUCAGCCACACUGGGACUGAGACACGGCCCAGACUCCUACGGGAGGCAGCAGUGGGGAAUAUUGGACAAUGGGCGAAAGCCUGAUCCAGCAAUGCCGCGUGAGUGAUGAAGGCCUUAGGGUUGUAAAGCUCCUUUACCCGGGAUGAUAAUGACAGUACCGGGAGAAUAAGCCCCGGCUAACUCCGUGCCAGCCGCCGCAGUAA